UCAAGCAAGUAUAGGUCUGUGGCGGAUGCCUGGGAGCUGUCCGGCGAAGAAGGCCGCGGUAAGCUGCGAAAAGCUGCGGGGAGGAGCAAACAUCCAGAGAUCCGCAGAUAGCCGAAUGGGGUAACCCGUAUGUCGUAAGACAUACACCGCGCGCGGGAAGAAGAUACUGCGGCGGAGCGAGACUGCGUGAAGUGAACCAUCUAAGUAACGCGGGAAGAGAAAUCAAAAGAGAUUGCGCAAGUAGCGGCGAGCGAACGCGCAGGAGCCUAAACCCUUUAUAGGGUGUUGCAGGGCCGCACGGGGAUGACCCGUGGAGUUAGGAAAAAACCGAUUUUUAGCAGAAGCGUCUGGAAAGGCGCGCGAGACAGCGUGAAAGCCGCGUAAGCGAAAAGGAUCGGACUCCAUGGUGCGGUACCUAAGUAGGGCGGGGCACGAGAAACCCAGUCUGAAUCCGGGUCGACCACGAUCCAAGGCUAAAUACGAGACAGCUACCGACAGUGCAGCAGUACCGUGAGGGAAAGGCGAAAAGAACCCCGGUGAGGGGAGUGAAAGAGAACCUGAAACCACAGACCGACAAGAUGUCACGGCUCGCAAGAGUUGUGGCGUGUCUUUUGUAGAAUAAACCUGCGAGUUGCGUUGCGCGGCGAGGCUAAGGGUUGGAAGAUCCGGAGCCGGAGCGAAAGCGAGUGUGAAAAGUGCGAAAAGUCGCGUGACGCAGACCCGAAGCCAAGGUGAUCUAAUUAUGGGCAGGCUGAAGGCAGGGUGAAACCUGUUGGAGGGCCGAACAGUAAUCUGUUAAAAAAGGUAGUGAUGACCUGUGAUUAGGAGUGAAAGGCUAAACAAACCUGGAAAUAGCUGGUUCUCCCCGAAAUGCCUUUAGGGACAGCCUCAUGCAAAGCGGAAGGAGGUAAAGCACCGGAUGGGAUAGGGGGCGUCACAGUCUACCGACACCAAUCGAACUCAGAAUGCCAUCCGCCAACGCAUGGGAGUGAGACUGUGUGCUCCAAGGUUCAUAGUCGAGAGGGAAACAGCCCGGACCGUCGGCAAAGGUCCCAAAAUAACGCUCAGUGUGAAAUGAGGUGCGUCUGCACAGACAGCCAGGAGGUUGGCUUAGAAGCAGCCAUUCCUUAAAAGAGUGCGUAACAGCUCACUGGUCGAGCAGGCGUGCGCAGACAAUGUAACGGGGCUAAGCGUUAUACCGAAGCCGCGGGUCCGCAUUGUAAGAUGCGGGCGGUAGGGGAGCAUUGCGCUAACCGGCGAAGGCGUACCUGUGAGGGGCGCUGGAGGAAGCGGAAGAGAGAAUGCAGGCACAAGUAACGAAAAGACGGGUGAGAUUCCCGUCCGCCGAAAGCCUGAGGAUUCCCGGGUAAAGGCAAUCUGCCCGGGGUAAGUCGGCCCCUAAGGCGAGGACGAAAGUCGUAGUCGAUGGGAAAUCGGUUCAAAAUCCGAUACCCGGCUCAGUUUUGAAGGCAGGACGCAUGAGGUGAAAUCCGGCAGGAGAACGGUAGUUCCUGUCCAAGCAGUGAGGUGUUGAGAGGGCGGAUAAAAGAGCUCUUGAGCUGAGCUGUUACGGGGAGCGGAGCGCAGGCGAAGCGAAGCGGACGUAAUCAAGGUGCCGGGAAAUACUGUCUAAAGUUAGGCUGAGUCGGACCGUACCGGAAACGGACACACGCAGGCAGGAUGAGUAAUCUAAGGCGCACGAGCGACCCCGCGUUAAGGAACUCGGCAAAAAGCACACGUAACUUCGGAAGAAGUGUGGCUCACGCUGAUAAGGAUGUGAGCGGCAGAAAGCAGGCCCAGGCGACUGUUUAUCAAAAACACAGCCAUCUGCGAACCAGUAAUGGGACGUAUAGGUGGUGACACCUGCCCGGUACCGGAAGGUUAAGGGGAGGGGUUAGCAGCAAUGCGAAGCUCCGAACCGAAGCCCCGGCAAACGGCGGCCGUAACUAUAACGGUCCUAAGGUAGCGAAAUUCCUUGUCGGGUAACGAUUCUGGGCGCUGUCUCAACGCGGGACUCGGUGAAACUUAUAUUCCGGUAAAGAAGCCGGAUACCCGUAAUUAGACGGAAAGACCCCGUGAACCUUCACCGCAGCUUAUCACUGGGAUUCUAUCCGCCAUGUGUAGGAUAGCCGGGAGGCUAUGAAGCGUGCGCGUUAGCGUGCGUGGAGCCGUUGGUGAAAUACCGGCCCUGGCGGAUGGGAUUUCUAACUCCGGUCCGUGAAGCCGGAUGGGGGACAGUGAUUGGCGGGCGGUUU
rnacentral:rRNA from 1 species